AGAACGAACGCUGGCGGCAUGCCUAACACAUGCAAGUCGAACGAGACCUUCGGGUCUAGUGGCGCACGGGUGCGUAACGCGUGGGAAUCUGCCCUUGGGUUCGGGAUAACAGUUGGAAACGACUGCUAAUACCGGAUGAUGACUUCGGUCCAAAGAUUUAUUGCCCAGGAAUGAGCCCGCGUAGGAUUAGCUAGUUGGUGAGGUAAAGGCUCACCAAGGCGACGAUCCUUAGCUGGUCUGAGAGGAUGAUCAGCCACACUGGGACUGAGACACGGCCCAGACUCCUACGGGAGGCAGCAGUGGGGAAUAUUGGACAAUGGGCGAAAGCCUGAUCCAGCAAUGCCGCGUGAGUGAUGAAGGCCUUAAGGUUGUAAAAGCUCUUUUUACCCGGGAAGAUAAUGACUGUACCGGAGAAAUAAGCCCCGGCUAAACUCCGUGCCAGCAGCCGC
rnacentral:rRNA from 1 species